AGCAAAUCCAGUGUGGUACCUUCCUUCCUCAUCAGCAUAUCUGGAGCCAUCUACAAACGGUGAAAUCAGGUUCCAGCAGAGCAGUUUCAUAUACUGUUGGAAGAUGUGUUGUGUUGUCUCCAUCUUCAUCUGUUCAAAACAGUCAUGGGGUGCAUCUAGAUCUUGAUCCGCAGGAGGGGCAUCAAUGCAUAUUUCACAGUUCGAUUAGUGACCCCUUCUCCAGAAAGCUGGUCUUGAUCAGCUGUGCUCCAUGAGCUGGCCAAUGGGCCAAGUUCUUUCCACAAGAGUUGUAGGGAUUUAGUGAAGGAGACGUGAGGAACCGCCAAAUCCCAGUGAUGGUACAUGUGUCUUACUUCCAUAGGCAAGAGGACUAGAGCCACGCUGUUGCCCGUGGAGUCACAGAACAGGCCUGUCGAGAUGAGACUUACCUCCACCAGCUGGAACAGUUCUUCCUCAUAAUGUGUGUCAGGUCCUGGAGUAUUUCUGAACCACAAAGCGCAAUGGGGGAAAGACUGAGCAUUAUGUGGAACGGAAGGAACACACACAUUCAUGAAGAUGAUGGAGUCCGGGUCUAUAUCAAGACUGUACCAGUAGCAGGGGAUUCACCCCCCACCCCCGGGAAGUGGCAGAAGAGUGGCCGGGUUGAGAGAGUUACAUCUUUGCAGGGUGACAUUAUCUGGGAGCAGAAGGGUAGAUUGAAGGCGGAGGUGAUGAGCAGAUGAGAGGUGUUUAGGUUGAGUCUGGUUGAGGAUGGCAG